GACGAACGCUGGCGGCGUGCUUAACACAUGCCAGUCGAACGGAAAGGCCCUGCUUGCCGGGUACUCGAGUGGCGAACGGGUGAGUAACACGUGGGUGAUCUGCCCUGCACUUCGGGAUAAGCCUGGGAAACUGGGUCUAAUACCGGAUAGGAGCCAUUUUUAGUGUGAUGGUUGGAAAGUUUUUUCGGUGUAGGAUGAGCUCGCGGCCUAUCAGCUUGUUGGUGGGGUAAUGGCCUACCAAGGCGGCGACGGGUAGCCGGCCUGAGAGGGUGGACGGCCACAUUGGGACUGAGAUACGGCCCAGACUCCUACGGGAGGCAGCAGUGGGGAAGAUUGCACAAUGGGCGCAAGCCUGAUGCAGCGACGCCGCGUGGGGGAUGACGGCCUUCGGGUUGUAAACUCCUUUCGCUAGGGACGAAGCUUUUUGUGACGGUACCUAGAUAAGAAGCACCGGCUAACUACGUG
rnacentral:rRNA from 1 species